rnacentral:rRNA from 1 species
UGGGGAAUAUUGGACAAUGGGGGGAACCCUGAUCCAGCCGUGCCGCGUGUGUGAAGAAGGCCUUAUGGUUGUAAAGCACUUUAAGCGAGGAGGCGUUACUCGCAGAAUAAGCACCGGCUAACUCUGUGCCAGCAGCCGCGGUAAUACAGAGGGUGCGAGCGUUAAUCGGAUUUACUGGGCGUAAAGCGUGCGUAGGCGGCUAAUUGAGUCGGAUGUGAAAUCCCCGGGCUUAACUUGGGAAUUGCAUUCGAUACUGGUUAGCUAGAGUGUGGGAGAGGAUGGUAGAAUUCCAGGUGUAGCGGUGAGAUGCGUAGAGAUCUGGAGGAAUACCGAUGGCGAAGGCAGCCAUCUGGCCUAACACUGACGCUGAGGUACGAAAGCAUGGGGAGCAAACAGGAUUAGAUACCCUGGUAGU